GACGAACGCUGGCGGCGUGCUUAACACAUGCAAGUCGAACGAUGAAGCUGGAGCUUGCUCCGGUGGAUUAGUGGCGAACGGGUGAGUAACACGUGAGCAAUCUGCCCUUGACUCUGGGAUAACUGCGGGAAACUGUAGCUAAUACCGGAUACGAGGCUCGAAGGCAUCUUCGGGUCUGGAAAGAAUUUCGGUCAAGGAUGGGCUCGCGGCCUAUCAGCCUGUUGGUGAGGUAAUGGCUCACCAAGGGGACGACGGGUAGCCGGCCUGAGAGGGUGACCGGCCACACUGGGACUGAGACACGGCCCAGACUCCUACGGGAGGCAGCAGUGGGGAAUAUUGCACAAUGGGCGAAAGCCUGAUGCAGCAACGCCGCGUGAGGGAUGAAGGCCUUCGGGUUGUAAACCUCUUUUAGCAGGGAAGAAGCGAAAGUGACGGUACCUGCAGAAAAAGCACCGGCUAACUACGUGCCAGCCGCCGCCGUAA
rnacentral:rRNA from 1 species